CCUACGGGGUGCUGCAGUGGGGAAUAUUGGACAAUGGGCGAAAGCCUGAUCCAGCCAUGCCGCGUGUGUGAAGAAGGCCUUCGGGUUGUAAAGCACUUUCAGUGGGGAAGAAAGCCUUGGGGCUAAUACCCUCGAGGAAGGACAUCACCCACAGAAGAAGCACCGGCUAACUCCGUGUCAGCAGCCGCGGUAAUACGGAGGGUGCGAGCGUUAAUCGGAAUUACUGGGCGUAAAGCGCGCGUAGGCGGUCUGAUAAGCCGGUUGUGAAAGCCCCGGGCUCAACCUGGGAACGGCAUCCGGAACUGUCAGGCUAGAGUGCAGGAGAGGAAGGUAGAAUUCCCGGUGUAGCGGUGAAAUGCGUAGAGAUCGGGAGGAAUACCAGUGGCGAAGGCGGCCUUCUGGACUGACACUGACGCUGAGGUGCGAAAGCGUGGGUAGCAAACAGGAUUAGAUACCCGUGUAGUC
rnacentral:rRNA from 1 species